UACGGAGGGUGCGAGCGUUGUUCGGAAUUACUGGGCGUAAAGCGCACGCAGGUGGCUGAGUCAGUCGAUUGUGAAAGCCCUGGGCUUAACCUGGGAAUUGCAGUCGAUACUACUCAGCUAGAGUAUGGGAGAGGGCAGUGGAAUUCCCGGUGUAGCGGUGAAAUGCGUAGAUAUCGGGAGGAACAUCAGUGGCGAAGGCGGCUGCCUGGCCCAAUACUGACACUCAGGUGCGACAGCGUGGGGAGCAAACAGG
rnacentral:rRNA from 1 species